UACGUAGGGUGCAAGUGUUGUCCGGAAUCAUUGGGCGUAAAGAGCGUGUAGGCGGCUCGAUAAGUCCGCUGUAAAAGUCCAGGGCUCAACCCUGGGAUGCCGGUGGAAACUGUCGGGCUAGAGUCCGGGAGAGGUGAGUGGAAUUCCUGGUGUAGCGGUGAAAUGCGCAGAUAUCAGGAGGAACACCAAUGGCGAAGGCAGCUCGCUGGAACGGUACUGACGCUGAGACGCGAAAGCGUGGGGAGCAAACAGG
rnacentral:rRNA from 1 species